rnacentral:rRNA from 1 species
GUUUGAUUCUGGCUCAGAGUGAACGCUGGCGGCGUGCCUAAUACAUGCAAGUCGAACGAUGAAGCUCUAGCUUGCUAGAGUGGAUUAGUGGCGCACGGGUGAGUAAUGCAUAGAUAACAUGCCCUUUAGUCUAGGAUAGCCAUUGGAAACGAUGAUUAAUACUGGAUACUCCUUACGAGGGAAAGUUUUUCGCUAAAGGAUUGGUCUAUGUCCUAUCAGCUUGUUGGUGAGGUAAUGGCUCACCAAGGCUAUGACGGGUAUCCGGCCUGAGAGGGUGAACGGACACACUGGAACUGAGACACGGUCCAGACUCCUACGGGAGGCAGCAGUAGGGAAUAUUGCUCAAUGGGGGAAACCCUGAAGCAGCAACGCCGCGUGGAGGAUGAAGGUUUUCGGAUUGUAAACUCCUUUUGUUAGAGAAGAUAAUGACGGUAUCUAACGAAUAAGCACCGGCUAACUCCGUGCCAGCAGCCGCGGUAAUACGGAGGGUGCAAGCGUUACUCGGAAUCACUGGGCGUAAAGAGCGCGUAGGCGGGAUAGCAAGUCAGAUGUGAAAUCCUAUGGCUUAACCAUAGAACUGCAUUUGAAACUGUUAUUCUAGAGUAUGGGAGAGGUAGGUGGAAUUCUUGGUGUAGGGGUAAAAUCCGUAGAGAUCAAGAGGAAUACUCAUUGCGAAGGCGACCUGCUAGAACAUAACUGACGCUGAUGCGCGAAAGCGUGGGGAGCAAACAGGAUUAGAUACCCUGGUAGUCCACGCCCUAAACGAUGAAUGCUAGUUGUUGUGGAGCUUGUCUCUGCAGUAAUGCAGCUAACGCAUUAAGCAUUCCGCCUGGGGAGUACGGUCGCAAGAUUAAAACUCAAAGGAAUAGACGGGGACCCGCACAAGCGGUGGAGCAUGUGGUUUAAUUCGAAGAUACACGAAGAACCUUACCUAGGCUUGACAUUGAUAGAAUCCGCUAGAGAUAGUGGAGUGCUAGCUUGCUAGAACUUGAAAACAGGUGCUGCACGGCUGUCGUCAGCUCGUGUCGUGAGAUGUUGGGUUAAGUCCCGCAACGAGCGCAACCCUCGUCCUUAGUUGCUAACUAUUCGGUAGAGCACUCUAAGGAGACUGCCUUCGCAAGGAGGAGGAAGGUGAGGAUGACGUCAAGUCAUCAUGGCCCUUACGCCUAGGGCUACACACGUGCUACAAUGGGAAGCACAAAGAGAUGCAAUAUUGUGAAAUGGAGCAAAUCUAUAAAACUUCUCUCAGUUCGGAUUGUAGUCUGCAACUCGACUACAUGAAGCUGGAAUCGCUAGUAAUCGUAAAUCAGCUAUGUUACGGUGAAUACGUUCCCGGGUCUUGUACUCACCGCCCGUCACACCAUGGGAGUUGUAUUCGCCUUAAGUCGGAAUGCCAAACUGGCUACCGCCCACGGCGGAUGCAGCGGCUGGGGUGAAGUCGUAACAAGGUAACC